UGAGCGGUAACAGCUCAAAUUUGAAAUCUGGCCGCAAGGUCCGAGUUGUAAUUUGUAGAGGAUGUUUCGAGCAUGGUCUGGCCUAAGUUCCUUGGAACAGGACGUCAUAGAGGGUGAGAAUCCCGUAUGCGGUCAGGUGCCUACGCUCAUGUGAAACUCCUUCGACGAGUCGAGUUGUUUGGGAAUGCAGCUCAAAAUGGGUGGUAAAUUUCAUCUAAAGCUAAAUAUUGGCCAGAGACCGAUAGCGCACAAGUAGAGUGAUCGAAAGAUGAAAAGCACUUUGGAAAGAGAGUUAAACAGUACGUGAAAUUGUUGAAAGGGAAGCGCUUGCAACCAGACUUGCGCGCGGCUGAUCAUCCGGGCUUCUGCCCGGUGCACUCGGUCGCGCUCAGGCCAGCAUCGGUUUUGGUGGCGGGAUAAAGGCCUUGGGAAUGUAGCUCCUCUCGGGGAGUGUUAUAGCCCAGGGUGCAAUGCCGCCUACCGGGACCGAGGACCGCGCUUCGGCUAGGAUGCUGGCGUAAUGGUUGUAAGCGACCCGUCUUGAA
rnacentral:rRNA from 1 species